CCGCCUCACUGAGCCUUUCUUCCCCUUAGGUAAACCCAGUUCACUCAGGCAGAAGCAAGAGGAAGAACAUUCCUCCAGCUCCUCCUCAUGCAGGCCCGAGAGGUGGGAGGGCAUUCUGCCAGCCCAGUAUAUCCACUUUGCUUCGACAAAUGUCAGCCUGCCCAGAAUAAGGAAGUACCCACAGCCGGGAAAGGUAAAUCCAAACCCUGAAAAGACAGAUACUGAGCAUUUGAAAUAACACAGCUUGCAGCGUCCUUGCGGAGCCCUGUUUAUGGGGCAAUAAACCAUUUAAACGACUGUGUGUUGGAACCCACAAGGUCGCCUUGAAAGGCUUUUCACAGACACUGCUAGUAGGGCUCCAGGACGUCUGGAGGGCCAGGAUGGGGUGUCUUUUUGGCUUCUGCUUGAAGCUGCUGGUUCCCCUCCAUCAGGAACGCCAGCCCCUGGAGAGGCUGCCAUGAGAAAGCCAGUUUCCACGUAAAGAAAUCUAAGCAACUUGCUAGGGAGGCCACAUGGAGACAGUGAAACCCCAGAGGAUGAGAAACCACUUGAAAAAGAGCGAAGGCACCCAGUGGACAGCCAGCACCCGCCGCCGGAUGUGAAUGAGGCUGUCUUGCAUUCCUAAGAUGCUGCAGCUGACAUGAGGUGAAGCAAAGAUGAGUGUCCCAGCUGAGCCUGGCCAAGCUCCUGACUCACGGAAUCCUGAAAAAUAAAUGGUUGUCAUUUUA
rnacentral:lncRNA from 1 species